CAGCAGACACAUUCCAGCCAAUCAGCAGCAGACCCUCCCUCCCAGACCCUCCCACCUCCUGGACAGCAUCCAUUUUGAAGCUGCAUUUUUAGUGAGCUGUCCAGGAGGUGGAAGGGUCUGGGAGGGAGGGUCUGCUGCUGAUUGGCUGGAAUGUGUCUGCUG
rnacentral:miRNA from 1 species